rnacentral:rRNA from 1 species
UACGUAGGGGGCGAGCGUUGUCCGGAUUUAUUGGGCGUAAAAGGCUUGUAGGUGGCCACGUCAAGUCGGAUGUGAAAUCUCCCGGCUCAACUGGGAGGGGUCAUUCGAUACUGGCGGGCUCGAGGCCGGUAGGGGGAAGCGGAAUUCCCGGUGUAGUGGUGGAAUGCGUAGAUAUCGUAAGGAAGACCAGUGGCGAAGGCGGGUCUCUGGACAGUUCCUGACGCUGAGGCACGAAGGUCAGGGGAGCAAACGGG